GGCGGCGCGCUUAACACAUGCAAGUCGCACGAGAAAGGGAGCAAUCCUAAGUAAAGUGGCGCACGGGUGAGUAACACGUGGAUCAUCUACCUUUGAGUGGGGAGUACCUCUGGGAAACCGGAGACAAUACCGCAUAAGCCCGCAAGGGGAAAGCAGCAAUGCACUGAAAGAGGAGUCCGCGGCCGAUUAGCUAGUUGGCGGGGUAAUGGCCCACCAAGGCGAAGAUCGGUAGCCGGCCUGAGAGGGCACACGGCCACACUGGCACUGAAACACGGGCCAGACUCCUACGGGAGGCAGCAGUGGGGAAUCUCGCACAAUGGGCGAAAGCCUGAUGCAGCGACGCCGCGUGAGCGAUGAAGCCCUUCGGGGUGUAAAGCUCUUUCGACGGGGACGAUAAUGACGGUACCCGGAGAAGAAGCUGCGGCUAACUACGUGCCAGCAGCCGCGGUAAUACGUANGCAGCGAGCGUUGUUCGGAAUUACUGGGCGUAAAGAGUGUGU
rnacentral:rRNA from 1 species